rnacentral:rRNA from 1 species
GACGAACGCUGGCGGCGUGCUUAACACAUGCCAGUCGAACGGUGAAGCGCCUUCCUUCUUGGUGGGUGUGGAUGAGUGGCGAACGGGUGAGUAACACGUGAGUAACCUGCCCCCUUCUUCUGGAUAACCGCAUGAAAGUGUGGCUAAUACGGGAUAUUCUGGGUCUGUCGCAUGAUGGGUCUGGGAAAGAUAUUGUUUCGGUGGGGGAUGGGCUCGCGGCCUAUCAGCUUGUUGGUGGGGUGAUGGCCUACCAAGGCGGUGACGGGUAGCCGGCCUGAGAGGGUGGACGGUCACACUGGGACUGAGACACGGCCCAGACUCCUACGGGAGGCAGCAGUGGGGAAUAUUGCACAAUGGGCGCAAGCCUGAUGCAGCGACGCCGCGUGAGGGAUGGAGGCCUUCGGGUUGUGAACCUCUUUCGCCAGUGAAGCAGGCCUGCCUCGUUUGUGGGUGGGUUGACGGUAGCUGGAUAAGAAGCGCCGGCUAACUACGUG